rnacentral:rRNA from 1 species
CAGCCGCCGCGGUAAUACGUAGGUGGCAAGCGUUGUCCGGAAUGAUUGGGCGUAAAGGGCGCGCAGGCGGCUGUGUAAGUCUGUCUAGAAAGUGCGGGGCUAAACCCCGUGAGAGGAUGGAAACUGGACAGCUGAGAGUGUCGGAGAGGAAAGCGGAAUUCCUAGUGUAGCGGUGAAAUGCGUAGAUAUUAGGAGGAACACUGGUGGCGAAAGCGGCUUUCUGGACGACAACUGACGCUGAGGCGCGAAAGCCAGGGGAGCAAACGGGAUUAGAUACCCCCGUAGUCCCUGUCUUUAUACA